GGGAGCAAGCGUGCGUUCGUGAACGCGCGUCGAGAGUACCCGGAGAAAAAGCAUCGGCUAACUCCGUGCCAGCAGCCGCGGUAAUACGGAGGAUGCGAGCGUUAUCCGGAUUUAUUGGGUUUAAAGGGUGCGUAGGCGGGAUGCCAAGUCAGCGGUAAAAAUGCGGUGCUCAACGCCGUCGAGCCGUUGAAACUGGCGUUCUUGAGUGGGCGAGAAGUAUGCGGAAUGCGUGGUGUAGCGGUGAAAUGCAUAGAUAUCACGCAGAACUCCGAUUGCGAAGGCAGCAUACCGGCGCCCUACUGACGCUGAGGCACGAAAGCGUGGGUAUCGAACAGGAUUAGAUACCCUGGUAGUCCACGCAGUAAACGAUGAAUGCUAACUGUCCGGCUCGAAUGAGCGCUGG
rnacentral:rRNA from 1 species